CCCCUCUCAGGGACGCAUCUGGAGAUUUCCCAGUAGUCUACCAGCCUCGGCUAUGGGAGGGAGAGUCGAGCAGAGGCCUACCCAUUCCAUUCCUAGCUUGGCCAGUGGCUAGCGAGUGGAACGCAAUCUGUUACAAGU
rfam:Ornithorhynchus anatinus chromosome 5, whole genome shotgun sequence.